UUAACAAUGGAAGAUUGCUGGAAAUCUUCAUCAAUCCCUUUAACUUCUUCAAGUUUCGAUGGUUGUGGUGCUUCGAUGCUGUUCACUGAUGAACAACCCUGUCUAGGUACACACAUGUGGGUAGACAGCAUAUUGCUAUUUGGGGUUGAUGGUUUCUGAGAAAAUUUUGUAUCAACUUCCUUGUCCAUCUCUAUCACUUUGAAUCUGAUCCUUUUAUGCUUCAAUGCGUGAUCAAUAGUAAAAGGUUCAUCACAUACAAAACAUAAACCCAAUUCCAUCUUCUCCUCCACAUCGAGAGCACUCAAAAUUUUCACCAAAUUAUGUUUUGAACCCAUNNNNACGGGUAAAUAGAUUCUAGGGACGAAACCGAUAGAAUCGAGUCUUAAAGUAGGAAUUCUAAUGAAUUGAGUAGAAUUCGGUACAAAUGAGAUUAUGCAAACAUGAGAGAGUUUUGAUUCUUGAGAAGAAGAUAAUUUGUUGAAUAUUAAUUGAUUUCUUUCAAAUGAGGCACAAGAUCUUUAAAUACAACUCUCAGGGCUAAAAGAGUAAAUAACAUAAAAUAAACUAUUUAUUUAAAAUAAACUAUUAAACUAUACUUAAUUCAUAAAGUGUUCAACCUCCACUUUUCUAAGUAAUGUGGGAUUUAACCACUCACACUUACCACAACUAUCUCCCACUCAAGUGUGAGUCCAUCCAUUCUUGGAUAUGCUCCCCGGCCCUCAAGCAGAAGCUUUCUUCAUCCUACACUUGUACCACUGUAAGCCACAUUGCUCGACGGGACUCGCCGCCUGACCACCUUUGUCAAGAAGACUUUCGAUACAUGGAGCCAGUUCAACCCUUUGUCGAUCCAUCGACUCUAAUACCAUUGUUGGGUCAUUACGAGGGGACAACCGGUGGAUCAUCCCCAUUGGGUUCAAGAACAACUUCACAUGUGAGUUGGACACCACACUUUUAUAGGCGCACACAUAAAUGAUAAAAAGUAAAUCAUAAAUAUAAUUUAUUCACAUCAAUUGACGACAUUGACUAUUUGAGUUUUGUAUGUGUGCCCAAAUUUAAAUAGUUCGUGGUUGUGCCCAUAAAAGUGUUCCGGCCUCCAUAUUAUUUUAGAAAAUUUGAUUGAACUUUCUAAAUAAUCUUUCCAAAAAAUGACCCAAGAACAUGGUCAUUAUAUUCUUAUCCCUAAAAUAUUGUGUAACUUAUUUCAUAAUUUUUUUUAUCAUCAAAUAUAUAAACAUGUAUACAGUAAAUGAGAAUAUCAAAAUCAUAAAAUUUAUCGUAAUAGUUGCACCUAAUUUUGCAAGAAUCAAAAUAAUCAAAUUACUCGGGUCUAAAAUUGCAAAACAAACUUGCAAACGGCAAAACAGAAUAACAAGAGUUGCAAGACUCUAAGUUAACUAAAGUUAUGGCUCACUAAAGUUAUGGCUCACAAAAUAACAAGGUUGAUGCAAUUUACCAGUUUAUACUAAUAAUAUGAAUGCAGCUGUGAGUUUGUUUACAAUAUUUUAUUUUUUUUAGCAAUUUUAAUUUUAUAUUAUAUCAAUGUAAUCUAUUAAUCUAAAUGAAUAUUUGAAAUAACAGAAGUGCAAGACACUCUAAAUUAACUAAAGUUAUAUUUUACAAAAUAACAAGGUUUAAGAUUGAGAUAUGUUACGACAAAAAGUGAAAAAAAUUAUUGGAUUUAGAAUAAAAAAAAAAAUUUAAUGAGCUGAACAAACUUUUAUUUACAAUAAAAUAUUAGUGUUUUUUUAUAAAAAAAAAAAAAUUAGUUUUGUUAGUAAUUAUGUUGGGAGUGAUUUUCAAACACUCAACCAAUUCCUUACCACUCCACUUCUCAACUCUACAAUAUCUUCAAGCCAUCAUAUUCUAUCCCCUAUCAAAUCAAAAUACAAAAUAUAUGCACAGUUAGGAAAAUGAUUAGGAAUUAGAUGUUGAUGUUUGAAGUGUGAAUUGAGUUUAUAUCAGAUCAAAAAGUAGACGUUAUGAUCCAUGAAACUAAUAAUACCUUAAGGUUUUCCGUUAAUUAUGAUGUGUUGUCUAACUCACUUGUGUAGUUGUUCAAGACCCGAUAUGAUGAUCCUUAAACCCCCUCGUGACCCAUGCAACAAUAGUAUCAGAGUUAAUGGUUUGACGAAGGGUUCGAUCGACUCUAGCUUGUAUGUCUUCCUAACAAAGGUGGUCAGACAACAUGUCCGUUGAGUGCCACAACUGCGGUGCAAGUGUAUGGAUGAAAAAAAUUCCGUUUGAGGGAGAACAUGCCCAUAAAAAAAUGGAUGGACUCACACUUGAGGGGAAAAUUGUUGGUAUUUCAAGUGUGAGUUGAGUCUCAUAUCAAAUGUAGUGAAUUUUGAACAUUUUAUUAGUGAAAUGACCCAUGAACGUAAUGCCUUAAAGUUUGAGUUAAGAUGUGGUGUUCAAUUCGUUGAAGACCUAUAUGAUCUCGAAUCCCCUAGUAACCCAACAUUAGAUACAUAUUGACAAGUUGUUUCUUCUUGACAAAACACACAUCUAGUUGUGAAUGGGAUAUUUUUUUGCAAGUUGUUUAAUACGUUAAAUUAUAUUGAGAAACUGGGGUAUAGAGUUUGCCUUGUUUCAUACCCAUUACUAGGUUGUUAACAUGAAUUAAAUUGAAAUCCAAAAUAGGAAAAUUUUGUGCAGUAUAACACACGCACAAGUUCAUAUGCCUACAAAUUUUGAGUCGGCUAGGCUCCGAUUGCAGUGACUAUAGGGCAAGUUCAACAUCCUUUAGAAGGUGAGAGAUCAUAAGAGUCAAUGAUGUAAAUAGGAUUAUUUAAUUAUUAGAACAAAAUCAACAAUAUACAAUUAAACUUGCUUUCAUUCAUAUAUUUGUUAGAAUUAUUGGUUCAAACACGCGUUCUUACAUGUGUUUUCCUUUCACUUCUGACCUAAGUAAUAAUUAAUUUUUAAUAAAUUUCUUUUUUUUUAUAAGCAAAAUAUAUUAUAAUGGAGUAUAAGGGGUACUUGAACCCUUAUAAUUCAAAGUCAGAAGUUAAAUGCUUUGAAUACAUCCCAAAGGGUCAUGACACCAGUCCUUAAAUGAUAAAUUAGAGUUUCGGCCAUACCGACUACUAAACCAAACCCACGAACUGAAUUUAAUGUCAUCCACAAGAAGAAGAGCAUUUGGAAAAGCUCCCUUGAAAAUCACACUAUUUCUAAGCUUCCAUAUGUUCCAAGAAGUUGCCAGCCAAAUCAAAUGUUUAACCCGUCCACCCUUCUUUGAUUUUACCAUGUCACCAAAUAGCGCAAAAUGAUUCCAACCUUUUUUAUUCGGUGGAAGUCUCUUUCCUAUCCACUUAAAAAUCGCUUCCCAAAUUCGUUUGCUAAACGGACAGAGGAAAAAAAGAUGGUUGCAAUCCUCAUUAUCAAGAAAGCAAAAAACACAAGAUAACUCAUGCACGUUAAUAAGGAUACCUCUGUAAAAAAAUAGUGAGAGAAUUUAAGAUAUUAAGUCAAACUCUCAAUUCUAAGACGGUAUCAGAGUCUCUCGAAUAUUCAUUGAGUUUAAUAGUAUUGGGCGUAAGAGGGGUAUGUAAGGUGAGGCAAUUUCAUCCAUCUCACUUCCGAUGUGGACUUCUUAACCGUUGUCAUAGGGCACGUGUUUAGUGCGACAAAAAGUGAGUGUCAAGUAAGGUGGAAUUCAGUUGCAUUGUAAUAGUCAAGAGUGUCAUAUAUUUAUUUUACAAAUAAUCAAGUGUAUCACACCAAAACCAAACAUAUUAAUGUGGUUUUUCACAAGAUCAAGGAGAUGAUAUGAUUUUUUAUGUUUUUUUAAUGCGGAAUUUGAUAAGAUAUAUUUUUAAGGUUUCUAAAAGAAGGUGAAGAAUAAUUAAGUAGUACAGAAAGAUAAUUAGAAACAGGAUAAGAACUAGCUAGAUAUUUAUCGACAAGUUUUUUAUUUUUGUUGACAAAUUACACAUUGUCAAGUUGUUUUCAGCCUAUUACGUUAAAACUAUAAUUAGAAACUGGGGUAUAGAAUUUGCCUUGUUUCAUACCCAUUAGUAAGUUGUUAACAUGCAUUAUUGAAAUAAAAAAUAUAUAAGAAAUUUUGUCAGCAACACAUCCAAGAGUCCGAUUGCAUUGACAAUAUGGCAAGGUCAGCAUAUAUAUAUCCUUUAGAAGGUGACAGAUCUAAGAGUCAAUGUAAAAAUCAUUUGUUGAUUAUUAAAACAAAAUCAAUCACUAUUAUACUUGCUUUACUUUUUUUUUGAAGUCGUUUUAAUCUCCUCCCGAUUGCGUAUANNNNNNNNNNNNNNNNNNNNNNNNNNNNNNNNNNNNNNNNNNNNNNNNNNNNNNNNNNNNNNNNNNNNNNNNNNNNNNNNNNNNNNNNNNNNNNNNNNNNNAAAACGUUAUUGAGAGGUGUAACAUUUGGUGUCAAACUAGUUGGUGUCAACGGAUCCUGACUCUAUAUAUAUAUAUAUAUAAAUUAAAGACUUACUCAAACGAAUAUGAGUUACAAUACCCAUGUAUAUAAGUUUGGUGUUAAUGGUUCAUUCAAUGAAUUUUCAAUUUUAUAUAUAAAGGUCAUACAAUGUUCACAUAAUUAUAUUAAGUAGAAUAAUAAUUAAAAUAACACAUUAUAAGAGUAAUUACAUUUAACCAUAAAUAUCUUCAUUGUGCAAUAUCAUAUACUCGAUAGAAGUAUCAAUAUUAUACUUAUAUUUGUCUAUUAUGAACUUACAAAAUGUGAAAUUUGGGUGAAACACUAGCAUAAUAUAAUUUCGAGUGAUGGUCGGAAUAGCGAUCAGAGUUGUAGUCGGUGGUGACAACUGAUGGUGGUGGUUUUCAAUGGUCAAAGUGGUAGUCAGAGUGGUGAUGGGUGAUGGUGUAAUUGGUAAUAUGGUCAAACUGAUUAUCAAAAGUGAAUAGAAUAUUGAUCAACACUGAUCAAAUUAAUGGUCGAGAGUAAUCAAAGUGGUGGUUGACGAUAGUCGAUGGCGGUCCACGGAGUGGUGGUUUAAUGUGGGGUUUGGUUUUUAACAAUUGGUUUAGGAAUUAUAUCAUCGAGUUCCACAAGCAACUUACAUGCUCUACUCCAAUUCUCACAACUUCAUUAUACCAAUAAAACAAAAUACAAUAAUUCAUACAUUUACAAAUUUAAAUAUGAUCACAAGCAUAAUCAUGAAAUGAAAGGUCACCAAAUUUAUUAAAAUUUAAAGAACAAGUUGCUAAAUGAGGCAAACAGGCUUACCCCAUUAUUAAAAUUACACACAUCUCACGCAUAAAUAAAUAUAGUGCAUAUUUUCAAUUAAAGUAUGAAUUUAGCAAAAUCACAUUGACACACUUCGAUUUUGUCAAAAGUCACACUUUGUAACUCCAACAAAAUCAUAGUAUCCCUAUAAUUUAGUUAAAGUCAUUGUAAUUCCAAUUGUGCACACAAACAAUAACUGAAAUAAAAUUAAGUACCCGUGACCCUUGUAGAAACAUAAGUACUAAGCAUAUGGCUUUGAAGUACUUUUGACAUGAUCAAAUUCUAAGAACAUUGGAAACCAGAAGGAACGGAUUUUUCACAAGCACUAAGUAAGAGACUUAAUGUGAUAGGAACAUUCAAAUUGAUACCAAGAACAUUAGCCUUAAUAGCAGUACAAAGACAAAGUGCUGCAUCCAAAUCAGCCAAACCUUGAAUCAAUGCACAACACUUGCUUGAAGCAGGACUUCCAACAAUAAUAUUACCAAGUCCUAAAAGAUUAGCACAAACACCUAGUUUUAAUGUGUCCCUAGGACAUUUUUGUGUGGUUGAAGGAGGUGGGGUACUACCCUUAGGUGGAGUAGUAGCCUUGGGUGGAGGACUAGGUUUAGGUGUUGUUGAAUGUGGUGGUGGACUAGCCUUAGGUGUUUUUGGUGGUGGUGGAGGACAAGGUGUAGGUGGUGGAGGGCUAGGCUUAGGUUUUGGAGAUGGAGUUGGUUUGCAUGUACCACAAGCAUGAGAAAAUGUUGAAUAAGCAAGAAGAGAAAACAAUAUAAUUAGUGCACUAAGCUUGUUGGAAGCCAUUUUUACACUAAUGUGUUUUUGUGUGUUUUGAUGUUGAAUAUUAGAAUGAGAAAGAAAGGGAGGAUUAGACCAUUUUUAUAGGCAAAAUUUUGUGAGUGGUGUUAAUUUGUUUUUUUACUAGACAUUUAGAAUGUCUCAUCACUAAAAUAUUGCUCAUAAUAAUUGAGACCGAAUAAAAAUUAAAAUAUUCUUUUUAUUUUUUACUCAAAAAAUAUAUUAUCUAUCAUCUCAUCACCCCUCUCUAUCCCUCAUGUGUCUAUUUCCUCCCCUCACUUUCUCUGCCUCCAACCCUCUCGAUCUCCUAUCUCUCUUUUUGUUUUUUAAAUUAGGAUAGAUAUUAGUAGAUAUUUUUAUAUAUUAAUUAAAAUAGCACUAAUCACUUUACUUUUUAUCGAAUAGUUUGAUGGAUAGAAAUUUCAUCUUUAAGGUAGAUAAGUGAAAUGAUCGAAAUUCAAAUUCUGGCUCCUUACAUAUAUAAUGCAAUGUCCUAUCAACUGAGUUAAUAAGCUCACGGGACAUAGUCAUUUUAUUUUUAUUACACCCUUUCCAAUUUUUAUCAAUUACUAGUAAAUGUCAUUUUUAAUUUUCAAUAUAUUAUUAUUAUUAUUAUUAUUAUUAUUAUUAUUAUUAUUAUUUUCAAUUGGAUUUCUUAAUUAAUACUAUGUGUACCAUUUUAAGUCAAUAUUUUAUAUUUAUAUUUACAGUAAUAAUAAAUACAUCAAUACUCAAUAAGUUAAUUUGUUAAAAUUAUUAUUAUCUUCUUUUUUUUUUCAUUUACAAACAUUUUCUUAAUCUAUGUGAAAUAAGAAAGAAACAGUCUAGAUAUAUAUCCCCUUAUAGUGAAGGAUAUCUUGUGAUGGGAUACAAAAUUGAGGUGAACAAUAUCCAUAGAAUAUCCCCUUAUAGUGUAGGAUAUCUUGUAAUAUAAUGGGAUAAAAAUUUGAGGUGAACAAAAUGCAUAGUUUAUUUGUAAGAUCAUAGAGAGUUGAUUAAUGAGAUUUCACUCUUCAUAAUUUAAACUAUUCUACAUUUGAAGGGUUUCUGCAUUCUGCAAAGUAAAUUUGAGCUAACUAUAUAUAUAAAGCACUUGAAGUGGAACAUGAACUUUUGUGGGCAAAACUUGUGUUACACUUCAAGAAUAUGAACAAAUUGUACUCUUGUAAAAAAAAUACUAUGAAAAAAAAUACUUUUUGUCAAAAAUUAAUAAAGACUUAUAGAAUAACUAUAGUUAAUUAAAACUUCAUGUUUCUUAAUGAAGGUGAAGCAAAGAGUAGUAGGAAAACAGAGUUAGAAAAAUAAUAAAAGAAUUACAUGCAUGCAUGUAGUCAAGUUGUUUUUCUUGACAAAUAUUGUCAAGUUGUGAUUGGGAUAUUUUGCAAGUUGUGCAUUACGUUAAAAUUAUUAAGGAGAAAUAGAGUUUGCUUGGGAGUGAAGUCAAUAGAAAAUUUUGUGAGUAACAAAUGCACAAGCACACAUGAUUACAAAUUUUGAGUCGGCAAAGGUUCCAAUUGCAGCGACUAUAGAGCAAGAUUAAUUAGCAUCCUAUUAUUAGAAGGUGACAGAUCUAAGAGUCAAUGUAAAUAUGAUUUCAUUAUUAGAACAAAAUCAACUAUGAUUAAGCUGAUUUCAUUGACAAAUUUUCAUUUUAGUUCAAAAGAAUGUAGCGGUAUACUCACACAUACUAAAUGCUGAAAAGUCGAUAGUGAAUUCAAACUUUUACUGAAAUAUAUAUUUUUCUAUCGAUUUUUUUUUAUGUCUGUAAGUGAAGUGGAAAAUAGAAAAUUACAACACAAAAUUUCGAGGUCCGAAUAAAAGUGUACAAUCUUGUAAUAAGGGAAAACAAUAAAAAAAAUUUGAGAAAAAAAGAAGUAAAGACUACUAAUUUCAAAAACAAGAAAUAAAAAACAAUUUAGAGCAUCCACAAUGGAGAUACUCAUUUUUUAGUACUUAACUGAACCUCACGUGUACACAUCACUCAUUUAUAANNNNNNNNNNNNNNNNNNNNNNNNNNNNNNNNNNNNNNNNNNNNNNNNNNNNNNNNNNNNNNNNNNNNNNNNNNNNNNNNNNNNNNNNNNNNNNNNNNNNNNNNNNNNNNNNNNNNNNNNNNNNNNNNNNNNNNNNNNNNNNNNNNNNNNNNNNNNNNNNNNNNNNNNNNNNNNNNNNNNNNNNNNNNNNNNNNNNNNNNNNNNNNNGUUCACUUGCGAAAAUUAUCCAUCACUAUACAUCAUUAUAAAUGGGAUCCAUAAAAAUAAAAUAGGUACUAAUGAGACCCACAAUAACUAUACAUCUAUUUUGUUUUUGUGGAUCCCAUUUAUAAAGAUGUAUAGUUAUUUGUGAGAUGUGUUAUUGAUAAGGCCUAUUUAGAACUUUUUAAGAGAUGUUGGGUUGGAGGGAUUGAGUACUUAUUAGAUACUAUUAUUAAAAAAUUAUAAAUCAGUAAUAUGUACACGUGGAGCCCGGUUAAGUACUAAAAAAUGAAUAUCUCCAUUGUGGAUGCUCUUGGCAUUGACAUAUAGAGGAAUGUUAAGGUCAAACUAUCAAACAAACUCUUGUAGCCACAUUCAUCUCUUGGGCCACAUCAUCACCUAUUUUUAUUCUUUACCUAGUAACCGGUUCUUCAAGUUUUUACAACACUGUUAAUUUUUUAGUUUUAAUUUAAUUCUUGCAAGUGCGUAUUCAAGUUUCUAUAAUGAGAAAAUUUCUUUUUACCACCCUAUUAGGUUGGCGAAAAUACCCUCCUAUAUAUAAUUUUUAUCUUUAUCGUUAUAAAAGGAAUAAAACUGAUCACUCCUUAAACAACUCUUUAAUCACCUCCUUAACCCUAAUUUGUAUUUAAUUUCCCUCCAAACAGCUAUUUAAAUUAAAAUAAAAUAAAAAAAUUCGUAUUAAGGGUUCCCAUGAGUCAUAGAAUAUGCAGCUGUAAUUAUUAUUCUCAAAAAAAUAGGUUUCACAUGUUGCAAUAGUUUCAUUCCAUUUUCUCUGCAGACUUCCUCCCCAAUCGCCUCGACUAUCGCCCUCUACUUCCUCCCUCACCGCCUCCACUUUCGGCCAUUGUCAUCUGAAGAGCACCGCCACAAAGUAUACAAACCUGACCAGUUUGAAAUUGGCUUCUUCUGCUUCAUGGCCGAUGUUAAGAGUCCCACAUCGGUUGAGAGAUGGCCUGACUAAGUGUUUAUAUACUAGAGGCAAUCCUCACCUUACAAGCCGGUUUUGUAAGGAUGAGNNNNNNNNNNNNNNNNNNNNNNNNNNNNNNNNNNNNNNNNNNNNNNNNNNNNNNNNNNNNNNNNNNNNNNNNNNNNNNNNNNNNNNUAGUGCUGGGCGUGAGGGGGUGUGUUAAGAGUCCCACAUCGGUUGAGAGAUGGCCUGACUAAGUGUUUAUAUACUAGAGGCAAUCCUCGCCUUACAAGCCGAUUUUGUAAGGAUGAGUUAGGCCCAAUACUCAUUUCUAAGAGCCGAGAAUUGCUUGCUUCACCUCCGAUGCUCUUCAAAGUUAUUAUUUGUAUAUGUAUGUUUAGAAGUUAUUAUUGGAGUAAAUGUCAUGGACAAAGUUCUAUUUAUAUGAGUAUUUAUGAAUCUAAAAAUCAAAUUAUAUAAAUAUUAUAUGUUGAAUUUUAUCUAUUAAAUCAUUUGUUAAUGAUAAUGAUAAUGAUAUGCUGGUAAAAAAAAAUUCAUAAUAGUAUGCAUGUGAAUAUGAUACUUCACAAAACUCGUGCAACGCACGAGUCGGAGUCUAGUAAUCCAUAAACAUUCAUACAAAGCCAACCCACUUGUUAUUGGGAUAUAAGUUAUCAACUUCAACUCAUUCACAGUAUCUCUUUUCAUCCCAUGUUUCUUUACUACUCCACAAUAUGUAGAAAAAUUAGGAAAAUGUUUUCGGAAUUCUUUUUAGUGUAAAUUUUUACACUGAAAAAAAACUUUCGAAAAUAUUUUUCGAAAUUUUCUGGGUAUUUUUCGGGGUAGAAUAGAAAUGCAAGGGUGGAAGAGAAAAAUUCCAACUCAUCCUCCUACGAGUUGCACAGUCCAACAAGCUAAAAGAGUCCAAAGUUCUUAUGUUUUUUAAAAUAUUUAAAUCUGUACUUCUGAAAAAUAUUUAUAUUUUAUACAUGAGUAGAAAGCAAAAGAAUAUCAAUAAAUUUAGUUAAAGUUGCUACCACAAUGUAUUUUUUGUUUGUAGAUGAAAUGACAAUCACCACAAAAAAUUACAAAACAGCAAGAUCAUCGGUUUGAACCAAAUAAAAAUGUUUAAUCUAACUAUAUUUUUAUUUAUCAGUUGAAUUAAUUCUUACAUAUUUCUACUACCAUUUAUAUCAACUAUACAUAGACAAUUAUAACUGCACAUGUUUGAGCAUGUAACGACAAACUUUUUAAGGUUUUUAACUAGUUGCCCAUGGUUCAAAUUCGGUCGAUGGAACUUCUCUUUUUAAUGUGAAUUUUUACCUUAUCCGUCAUAGGUAUUUCUUAUGGAUAUUGGAUCUAACUGUCAUCCUAGAUAGAGAUCCAAUUUCCUUAUUUCCAGGCUAGAAAUGUCUGAAGAGUGAAGAUUAUAUCAAUCUGUAUCUAGCAUGUUGUGGUACACAUUUGCAAUAUAGAUUACACAUGAUUGAUAAAAGUUCAUUAAGUAGUGUACAAAAAAUAAUGAUUGUAAAUUGACAUUUGGCUUUAAAACUUGGUUUAACAAUGAUAUAUAUCAUUCAGUUCCACUAAUUAAGCAACUUACAUGCUCAAGUCCAAUAAAUAACCCAAAAAAGAACAAUUUACAAUGAAUCAAAUUGCAUAAUUUAAAUAUGACAAGAACAUUCAUUCCACAUAAAAAUAAAUACAGUAUAGUACACAUACACACUGUGAUUUUGAUAAAAAAAACCACACAUUAUAGUUUUAUCAAAAUCAUAGUAUCACUGUAAUUUCGUUAAACUCACUUUAUUUCGACCGUGCACACAAAAUAAGAAAAACAAUGAAAGUAUAGUAACAUGAGUACUAAGCAUAUCCCUUGAAGUACUUUUGACAUGAUUCUAAGAACAUUGGAAACCAGAAGGAACAGAUUUUUCACAAGCACUAAGUA
rnacentral:lncRNA from 1 species